AUGAACGCUGGCGGCGUGCCUAAUACAUGCAAGUCGAGCGAACAGACGAGGAGCUUGCUCCUCUGACGUUAGCGGCGGACGGGUGAGUAACACGUGGAUAACCUACCUAUAAGACUGGGAUAACUUCGGGAAACCGGAGCUAAUACCGGAUAAUAUAUUGAACCGCAUGGUUCAAUAGUGAAAGACGGUUUUGCUGUCACUUAUAGAUGGAUCCGCGCCGCAUUAGCUAGUUGGUAAGGUAACGGCUUACCAAGGCAACGAUGCGUAGCCGACCUGAGAGGGUGAUCGGCCACACUGGAACUGAGACACGGUCCAGACUCCUACGGGAGGCAGCAGUAGGGAAUCUUCCGCAAUGGGCGAAAGCCUGACGGAGCAACGCCGCGUGAGUGAUGAAGGUCUUCGGAUCGUAAAACUCUGUUAUUAGGGAAGAACAAAUGUGUAAGUAACUAUGCACGUCUUGACGGUACCUAAUCAGAAAGACGGCUAACUACGUG
rnacentral:rRNA from 1 species